rnacentral:rRNA from 1 species
AUUGAACGCUGGCGGCAGGCCUAACACAUGCAAGUCGGACGAGUGGCGGACGGGUGAGUAAUGUCUGGGAAACUGCCUGAUGGAGGGGGAUAACUACUGGAAACGGUAGCUAAUACCGCAUACCAUCAGAUGAACCCAGAUGGGAUUAGCUAGUAGGUGAGGUAACGGCUCACCUAGGCGACGAUCCCUAGCUGGUCUGAGAGGAUGAGCAGCCACACUGGGACUGAGACACGGUCCAGACUCCUACGGGAGGCAGCAGUGGGGAAUAUUGCACAAUGGGCGCAAGCCUGAUGCAGCCAUGCCGCGUGUAUGAAGAAGGCCUUCGGGUUGUAAAGUACUUUCAGUCGGGAGGCGUUACCGACAGAAGAAGCACCGGCUAACUCCGUGCCAGCAGCCGCGGUAAUAC